rnacentral:rRNA from 1 species
CCUACGGGAGGCAGCAGUGGGGAAUAUUGCACAAUGGGGGAAACCCUGAUGCAGCGACGCCGCGUGAGUGAAGAAGUAUUUCGGUAUGUAAAGCUCUAUCAGCAGGGAAGAAAAUGACGGUACCUGAUUAAGAAGCCCCGGCGAACUACGUGCCAGCAGCCGCGGGAAUACGUAGGGGGCAAGCGUUAUCCGGAUUUACUGGGUGUAAAGGGAGCGUAGACGGCAGCACAAGUCUGGAGUGAAAUGCCGGGGCUUAACCCCGGAACUGCUUUGGAAACUGUGCAGCUAGAGUGCAGGAGAGGUAAGUGGAAUUCCUAGUGUAGCGGUGAAAUGCGUAGAUAUUAGGAGGAACACCAGUGGCGAAGGCGGCUUACUGGACUGUAACUGACGUUGAGGCUCGAAAGCGUGGGGAGCAAACAGGAUUAGAUACCCCAGUAGUC